CGGUUGAUCCUGCCGGAGGAUGCUGCUAUUAGAAUUCGACUAAGCCAUGUGAGUCUCUGGUCCUUGUGGCCAGGGCGAACUGCUGAGUAACAUGUGGUUAAUCUGCCCUUGAGUUUAGGAUAACCUUGGGAAACUGAGGAUAAUACUAGAUAGGAGAUUUGUUCUGGAAAGAUAUUUCUCUGAAAGUUUCGGCGCUCAAGGAUGAGACUGCACUGGAUUAGGUUGAUGUUAGGGUAAAAGCCUACCAUGCCAAUAAUCCAUAGGGGCCGUGAGAGCGGGAGCCCCCAGACGGGUUCUGAGAUACUAACCCGGGCCCUACGGGGCGCAGCAGGCGCGAAACCUCCACAAUGCACGCAAGUGUGAUGGGGGGAUUCUAAGUGCUGGCGCUUUGCGUCAGCUUUUCUUAAGUCUAAAUCGCUUGAGGAAUAAGUGGUGGGUAAGACCGCUGCCAGCCGCCGCGGUAAUAGCGGCGCCACGAGUGGCAUCCACGAAUAUUGGGUUUAAAGCAUCUGUAGCCGGCUUGGUAAGUCUACUGUGAAAUCCUGCAGAAAACUGCAGGGCGUGCGGUAGAAACUAUUUAGCUUGGGACCAGAAGAGGUCAGAGGUACUCCUAGGGUAGCGGUAAAAUGUUGUAAUCCUAGGGAGACCACCUGUGGCGAAGGCGUCUGACUGGAAUGGAUCCGACGGUGAGGGAUGAAAGCUAGGGGAGCGACCCGGAUUAGAUACCCGGUUAGUCCUAGCUGUAAACGAUGCUCACUUGGUAUU
rnacentral:rRNA from 1 species